rnacentral:rRNA from 1 species
UACGUAGGUUGCAAGCGUUGUCCGGAUGUACUGGGUGUAAAGGGCGUGUAGGCGGGAUAGCAAGUCAGAUGUUAAAUUCCGGGGCUUAACCCCGGCGCUGCAUCUGAAACUGUUAUUCUUGAGUGUCGGAGAGGAAAGUGGAAUUCCCAGUGUAGCGGUGAAAUGCGUAGAGAUUGGGAGGAACACCAGUGGCGAAGGCGGCUUUCUGGACGAUAACUGACGCUGAGGCGCGAAAGCGUGGGGAGCAAACAGG